GGGUACUCGAGUGGCGAACGGGUGAGUAACACGUGGGUGAUCUGCCCUGCACUUCGGGAUAAGCUUGGGAAACUGGGUCUAAUACCGGAUAGGAACCAUCUUUAGUGUGGUGGUUGGAAAGUUUUUUCGGUGUAGGAUGAGCUCGCGGCCUAUCAGCUUGUUGGUGGGGUAAUGGCCUACCAAGGCGGCGACGGGUAGCCGGCCUGAGAGGGUGUACGGCCACAUUGGGACUGAGAUACGGCCCAG
rnacentral:rRNA from 1 species